GAUGAAGAACGCAGCGAAAUGCGAUAAGUAAUGUGAAUUGCAGAAUUCAGUGAAUCAUCGAAUCUUUGAACGCACAUUGCGCCCGCCAGUAUUCUGGCGGGCAUGCCUGUUCGAGCGUCAUUACAACCCUCAGGCCCCCGGGCCUGGCGUUGGGGAUCGGCGGAGCCCCCCGUGGGCACACGCCGUCCCCCAAAUGCAGUGGCGGUCCCGCCGCAGCUUCCAUCGCGUAGUAGCUAACACCUCGCGACUGGAGAGCAGCGCGGCCACGCCGUAAAACACCCAACUCUUCUGAAGUUGACCUCGAAUCAGGUAGGAAUACCCGCUGAACUUAAGCAUAUCAAUAAGCGGAGGA
rnacentral:misc_RNA from 1 species